UGUCUACAACAGGGCCUGAAACUUCUUGG
rnacentral:piRNA from 1 species